UUUAUAGGCUCGAUGUUG
rnacentral:siRNA from 1 species